UACGUAGGGUGCAAGCGUUGUCCGGAAUUAUUGGGCGUAAAGAGCUCGUAGGCGGUUUGUCGCAUCUGCUGUGAAAACUCGGGGCUUAACCCCCGGGCCUGCAGUGGGUACGGGCAGACUAGAGUGCGGUAGGGGAGACUGGAAUUCCUGGUGUAGCGGUGAAAUGCGCAGAUAUCAGGAGGAACACCGGUGGCGAAGGCGGGUCUCUGGGCCGUAACUGACGCUGAGGAGCGAAAGCGUGGGGAGCGAACAGG
rnacentral:rRNA from 1 species